AGUAUAGCUCAGUGGUAAAGAGCUCUUGUCUAAUAUGUGUGAGAUCCUGGGUUCAACCCCCAGUACU
rnacentral:tRNA from 1 species